rnacentral:rRNA from 1 species
UACAGAGGGUGCAAGCGUUAAUCGGAAUUACUGGGCGUAAAGCGUGCGUAGACGGUUGCGUAAGUCAGAUGUGAAAGCCCCGGGCUCAACCUGGGAAUUGCAUUUGAGACUGCGUAGCUAGGGUGCGGAAGAGGGAAGCGGAAUUUCCCGGUGUAGCGGUGAAAUGCGCAGAUAUCGGGAAGAACACCCGUGGCGAAGGCGGUUCUCUGGGACGGUACUGACGCUGAGACGCGAAAGCGUGGGGAGCGAACAGG